UUACUGUGGUUAAUUACUGUGUACAACUAGAUCUGUUGCUAAUGAAAACUGCUCGCCCCAUCUGCAGGGCAAUGUGACCACCGCAGUCAAGGCUGGAGUCAGGUUGGAAAUCCCAAAUAGGGCUGUGCUCGAUAGCAAGGGGCUCACAGUUAAACAAGAAGAACAUGCUACAGACAGUGAUGUUGAGGCUGCCUAUACACCACAGGCCCAUGCCACCUACAACAAUCACAACCAGUUCCUCUGUAAAAAGCACAAGCAGCCAUUUGAGUACAUCGACCGGCCCUUGUCAUCGGAUUGGAUCCCAGAUUAUAAACGAGAAGAAAUCCAUCUAAAACCAGGGGAAUUCAUUAUUCGCGGUGAGCCUUGCAUCGGUUAUGCUGAUGAGUUUAGCCCGUACUGUGUGUACGGAAAUGAAGUGAAGUUGUACAACAAUAAUCUUAAGAAGCUGCGCAAGCUAAUUAAAAACAAGAGAACACCUAACAGCUACUAUGUCUGCCACAUGACAAAGACCUUUGCAACCCCUGGAAAAAGAAUGUAUUUCCUGGUGCCCUUCUCUAAAGGCAGUAUCUACCCACAUAUGGAUGCCAGCCAGCAAUGAAUUGCCAGUGAGCAAUGGAGAUGGUACUGUCAACGCCACAGUUCGCUUCAUCAAAGGCGUCGACAACAGAGCCACCAUCACAAAGAACUGGAGCGCUUUCUUUCAGAAGGCAGAAAUGAAAGAGGGCCGGGUCUAUGCCUUUGCGUUCAAAUGCUCAACGAAGGGGCUGCGCCUGAUCGUCUAUCCCCUAUAUGGAGAUCCAUGAAUAUCUGUUGAGUCUAUCCUAGGGUAUACUUUUGGAGCGCGUGUAGCAAAGCAGCAAUGUCAUUUCUAUGUCCUUCCAUCUGUUGAUCUCUCUCAAAACUGUUUCUUCCUUUGCUGUAAAUUAUUGUUCUUAACUACAAUGUCUCCGUAGAAGCGGUUUGAAUUAAUAUGUUGACAGACCACCCUCCCUUAUUGUGAAAGAGAUAGUCUUUUGGGAUGAAUUUACUUAUAUAUCUGGUAUCUACUCGGUUUC